UUUCGAUGCAGUAGGUUGGAGUUGAUUACAGUAAAUUUGGUUAACAUCAAAUUUGGUGUAAAAUUAGGUGUUUGGAUUGGAGAUGCCCUAACACCCCAGCUACACAGAACACGAGAGUUUUGAAACUCGGAUACGGAUGAUCUUAAUCGUUUUGCUAAACGCUCAAGGUUGAUUUCAUGCCGAUGUAAUCUAAUGACAUGAUUUAGAGGAACCCCUACACAAUGAACCUAACUUAGCAAUCUUCUCAUGCAGAGCACCCAAGUUGACAAGAGAAGCAGUAGUCAGUCUCCCCUGCGCACACUUCUUUUGAAUCCCCAUUGAGUGUACUUGUACACUCCCCUUUGAGCUUGUAAUUUGAUAUUCCAGAUGUUAGCUAGUUUCAUUUUCAUACUUGGCCUUUCAUCAGAGAAUACACAGUCACCACAACUUGGGUGAAGAUUGAUUACAUAGAUGUGGAAGCUCCGAGCAGAUAGCUUCUGCAGAAUCUAUACUGCCCCACGCAUCAAGAGCCCCUAUACUGCCCCAUAUCCUCUUUAGAACAAGCAUACAAAUCAAGAUCAAAUUUUGCAGGAUUUGGGAACAAGCAGUCGUCUUUUCUCAUAUUAUUUAUGGCAGGAACAACGAAAUUAUGUUCCAUGUUUCUAAAAAUAUACGUGAGACCAACUUCAUGUUCAACAGAAGUUUCAAUCCCAUUUUCAGCAAUGUAAGGAUUAACAUCUCGAAACCAGGUCCCGAUAUCUGGUGACAGAAGAGACGCGGUUCUGAACUAAAAUAUGGCAGGACGGAAUCAUACAUUUCAGCAGUCUGUUCAAAGAAGUCCAUCCGAUGAUCGUAUUCUUCUAGAAUGUCCUGGUUAAUGCAGACUUUUCUGAAUCUAUUUUGACUCUGCAAUGCCUUGCUCUUAGUUUUGCCCCAGCAAAACUUCUCAAAUCAUAUUUCCUUACCUGAAAGAGACCUAUGAUUUAAGACCUGAUUAACAUCCUCAGCUACUUCAAAUUCAACACUAAAAUCAUAUUAUAGGUGAUUUUGUUUUGUUCUGUAUUUACUCUUUUCAAACUUAAUAUCUUCAUAACUAUCAAAAGAUGAUUCAUCAUGUGUGAGGCUUCUGCGCAAAGAACCGCUCUGCAUAAAUGGUUUCCUUCUCUCAUGCUUUACAUUUGAACUGUUAUCAAGUACAAGAGAUUCCUUAAAUGAGACAUUCUCUGUUGAUCUGCCAGCUACAAUUGUUAAAGAUUCCUCCCGUCUGGAAAUUAACAGGAAGUCUGAUCUACAACUGGAGCUAGCUACCUGAAGCACUGAAUUUAUUAUCCAGGAAAUCACCCUCCUUAGGAAAAACAUUAGAUGAAUGGGUGUGCGCAGCGUUUCGGGAUUUCCAGUUCACACCAACUGUCAAUGAGCAAGAGAGAAAUCAAUUGACAGACUUGAACGUAUGAUUUGACAGAGGAAUCUGGACUCAGGAUCAUGCUUUUCAGAAGCACAUCCCCACCGAAUAAUCUGUGAAGAUCGAAUCUCACUCCUGCCAGUGCACUCUUCAGUGCACCAUUUCAUUAGGACAGCACUUGCUUAGUCUUUUUCUAGCUUGAUUGUGAAGCAUCGUUUAGAAAUGUCAGCUUAAGGACGGUAUAUAUCAACAUUCAAACUUCUUUUUAUUUUCAUUUUUGAGAUAAUAAUUCAAACUACUCCUCUCUUAACCUACAUAUGGAACACAAAGUAGAAAUGUUGAACUGGGAUGAGCAGCAUUUCUAACAAAUAAAUAACAUGCCAUUGAUAGCUUCCUAAUCCAGUUCAUAGCAAAAUAUCUUCUUUUGACUCCCCAUUGUGCGUACUUGAGCACUCCCCUUGAGCUUGUAAUUGUUAUUUCAGAUGUUGACAGGUUCCAUUUUCACACUUGGCCCGAAGGGAGAAACAUCAGGUUGUGUGAGUAAUUAAUAUCAGAAAGAACCUAACCCUCCCAAGAAAUUUGAUAACAUUACCUUCCAUCAGAAAAUACACUGUCAUGGGUUGAAGAUUAAUCACAUUGAUGGGAUGACUCAUGACUGUCGUGGAAGCUCCGGCCAGAUAGCUUCUGUAGAAUGAUGCAGUCUCCUUACAGUUCUAGUUUCUGGCAUGAGUAACACAUCAUGAACUGUCUUAAUAUUAUUAUUUCCUUCUGCCUUUCUUGAAGACUCGCUCGUGGCAAAGAACUUCUUGCCAUGGUAAAAUGGAAGAGUUGUAUGACUUCUUCUUCCUUGUAAGACUUAUCUGUUUUACCUCGAUUUCAAGCAUCAAUCCAUUUAUGUGAGUCCCCAUCCACCCAUUGUCAUCCACCUUAACAUAGCAGGUCCCAAUUCCUAUUGCAACAUUACCUCCAUGUACCGAUCACUUUCAUCUUUGCCAGGGAAAGAAAGACAAGCAUCUUCAAAUUUCUGCACCAUAUCAAGAUUCACCUCAUAUCUAUGACGGUGCCUUUCAUCAACAAAGCUCCGGUUGCGACAUCUGAGAAACAAUAUAGUUUAGGCACUUGGUAAUAUCAAUAGGAGAAGUCCUCCAAAAUGGCUACAGAUCAAGAUACAGCCAAUGCAGUGAGGUUGGAGGAAAGGAAGUAC
rnacentral:misc_RNA from 1 species